UUCGCCCUUAGAGUUUGAUCCUGGCUCAGGACGAACGCUGGCGGCGUGCUUAACACAUGCAAGUCGAGCGGGGAUAAAGGAUGGAGUCCUUCGGGACGAAGCCCUUUAUUCUAGCGGCGGACGGGUGAGUAACGCGUGAGCAAUCUGUCCUACACAGGGGGAUAACACUUGGAAACAGGUGCUAAUACCGCAUAAGACCACGAGGUCGCAUGGCCACGGGGUAAAAGAAUUAUCGGUGUAGGGUGAGCUCGCGUCUGAUUAGCUAGUUGGUGAGGUAACGGCCCACCAAGGCGACGAUCAGUAGCCGACCUGAGAGGGUGAUCGGCCACAUUGGAACUGAGACACGGUCCAGACUCCUACGGGAGGCAGCAGUGGGGAAUAUUGGGCAAUGGGCGCAAGCCUGACCCAGCAACGCCGCGUGAAGGAAGAAGGUUUUCGGAUUGUAAACUUCUGUCCUCAAGGACGAAGGAAGUGACGGUACUUGAGGAGGAAGCCCCGGCUAACUACGUGCCAGCAGCCGCGGUAAUACGUAGGGGGCAAGCGUUGUCCGGAAUGACUGGGCGUAAAGGGCGUGUAGGCGGCUUUUUAAGUGUGAAGUGAAAGUCCUGCUUUCAAGGUGGGAAUUGCUUUGCAAACUGGAGAGCUUGAGUGCGGAAGAGGUAAGUGGAAUUCCCAGUGUAGCGGUGAAAUGCGUAGAGAUUGGGAGGAACACCAGUGGCGAAGGCGGCCUGCUGGGCUUUUACUGACGCUGAGGCUCGAAAGUAUGGGGAGCAAACAGGAUUAGAUACCCUGGUAGUCCAUACUGUAAACGAUGAUUACUAGGUGUGGGGGGACUGACCCCUUCCGUGCCGGAGUUAACACAAUAAGUAAUCCACCUGGGGAGUACGACCGCAAGGUUGAAACUCAAAGGAAUUGACGGGGCCCCGCACAAGCAGUGGAGUAUGUGGUUUAAUUCGAAGCAACGCGAAGAACCUUACCAGGUCUUGACAUCCGACUAACGAAGCAGAGAUGCAUCAGGUGCCCUUCGGGGAAAGUCGAGACAGGUGGUGCAUGGUUGUCGUCAGCUCGUGUCGUGAGAUGUUGGGCUAAGUCCCGCAACGAGCGCAACCCUUACCAUUAGUUGCUACGCAAGAGCACUCUAAUGGGACUGCCGUUGACAAAACGGAGGAAGGUGGGGAUGACGUCAAAUCAUCAUGCCCCUUAUGACCUGGGCCACACACGUACUACAAUGGCUAUAAACAAAGGGAAGCCACUCCGCGAGGAGGAGCAAAACCCAAAAAAUAGUCUCAGUUCGGAUUGCAGGCUGAAACCCGCCUGCAUGAAGCUGGAAUUGCUAGUAAUCGCAGAUCAGCAUGCUGCGGUGAAUACGUUCCCGGGGCUUGUACACACCGCCCGUCA
rnacentral:rRNA from 1 species